GGGUAGGUAGAGUAUACUAAGGGGCGCGAGAUAACUCUCUCUAAGGAACUCGGCAAAAUGACUCCGUAACUUCGGGAGAAGGAGUGCCUUAUUUAUAAGGUUGCAAUAACAAGAUCCAAGCAACUGUUUAUCAAAAACACAGGUCUCCGCUAAGUCGUAAGACGAUGUAAGGGGGCUGACGCCUGCCCAGUGCCAGAAGGUUAAAGAAGUUGGUUAGCAUUCGCGAAGCUGAUGACUGAAGCCCUGGUGAACGGCGGCCGUAACUAUAACGGUCCUAAGGUAGCGAAAUUCCUUGUCGGGUAAGUUCCGACCCGCACGAAAGGCGUAAUGAUUUGGAUACUGUCUCGGAGAGGGGCUCGGUGAAAUAGACUUGUCUGUGAAGAUGCGGACUACCUGCACCUGGACAGAAAGACCCUAUGAAGCUUUACUGUAACUUGAAAUUGAAAUUGGACUUUAUUUGCGCAGCAUAGGUGGGAGGCGUUGAGAGUAUUCUUGCGGGAAUAUUGGAGCCAUCAGUGAGAUACCACUCUUGUAAUGUUAGAUUUCUAACUUUGUAUCAUUAUCUGGUCAAAGAACAGUUUCAGGCGGGCAGUUUGACUGGGGCGGUCGCCUCCCAAACGGUAACGGAGGCGUACAAAGGUUUCCUCUGAACGGGUAGAAAUCGUAUCUAGAGUGUAAAGGCAUAAGGAAGCUUGACUGUGAGACCUACAAGUCGAGCAGGGACGAAAGUCGGUCUUAGUGAUCUGACGGUGCUGAGUGGAAAGGCCGUCACUCAACGGAUAAAAGUUACUCUAGGAUAACAGGCUGAUCUCCCCCAAGAGUUCACAUCGACGGGGAGGUUUGGCACCUCGAUGUCGGCUCAUCGCAUCCUGGGGCGGUAGUACGUCCCAAGGGUUGGGCUGUUCGCCCAUGAAAGCGGUACGCGAGCUGGGUUCAGAACGUCGUGAGACAGUUCGGUCCAUAUCCGGUGUAGGCGUUAGAAUAUUGAGAGGAGCCUUCUUUAGUACGAGAGGACCGAGAAGGACAUACCUCUGGUGUACCAGUUAUCGUGCCAACGGUAAACGCUGGGUAGCUAUGUAUGGAGAGGAUAACCGCUGAAGGCAUCUAAGUGGGAAGCCCACCUCAAGAUAAGUAUUCUCAUCACGUAAGUGAAUAAGGUCACGGUAAGACUAACCGUUUGAUAGGCAUUAAGUGUAAAUCUAGUAAUAGGUGAGCUGAGAUGUACUAACAGACCGAAGAC
rnacentral:rRNA from 1 species